GACGAACGCUGGCGGCGCGCUUAACACAUGCAAGUCGAACGGAAAGGCCUGCUUUCCCUUGUGGAUUGCGGGUACUCGAGUGGCGAACGGGUGAGUAACACGUGAGUGAUCUGCCCCCAACUUGGGUAUAAGCCUGGGAAACUGGGUCUAAUUCCCGAUAGGACUGCAGGGUGGUGCCUGUGGUGGAAAACGAUUUUCUAGUGGUUGGGGAUGAGCUCGCGGCCUAUCAGCUUGUUGGUGGGGUAAUGGCCUACCAAGGCGGCGACGGGUAGCCGGCCUGAGAGAGUGGACGGCCACAUUGGGACUGAGAUACGGCCCAGACUGCUACGGGAGGCAGCAGUGGGGAAUAUUGCACAAUGGGCGGAAGCCUGAUGCAGCGACGCCGCGUGGGGGAUGACGGCCUUCGGGUUGUAAACUCCUUUCGACCGCGAGGAAGCCACCUGGUUGGAAGGGUGGUGACGGUAGUGGUAGAAGAAGCACCGGCUAACUACGUG
rnacentral:rRNA from 1 species